rnacentral:rRNA from 1 species
UGGGGAAUUUUGGACAAUGGGCGCAAGCCUGAUCCAGCCAUUCCGCGUGCAGGACGAAGGCCUUCGGGUUGUAAACUGCUUUUAUACGGAACGAAAAGGCUCUGGCUAAUACCUGGGGCUCAUGACGGUACCGUAAGAAUAAGCACCGGCUAACUACGUGCCAGCAGCCGCGGUAAUACGUAGGGUGCAAGCGUUAAUCGGAAUUACUGGGCGUAAAGCGUGCGCAGGCGGUUAUGUAAGACAGAGGUGAAAUCCCCGGGCUAAACCUGGGAACUGCCUUUGUGACUGCAUAGCUGGAGUACGGCAGAGGGGGAUGGAAUUCCGCGUGUAGCAGUGAAAUGCGUAGAUAUGCGGAGGAACACCGAUGGCGAAGGCAAUCCCCUGGGCCUGUACUGACGCUCAUGCACGAAAGCGUGGGGAGCAAACA